rnacentral:rRNA from 1 species
GGGGGGGGGGGGGGGCGGGCGGGGGGCGUGGGGGGCGGGCGGGGGGGGGGGGGGCCGGUGGCGGGCGGGGGGGGAACGCGGGGGCACCGGCCCUGGGGAGGGGAACCACACCCGGACGCGGUGGCUGCUACCCCGUAGGCCUCGGAGCAAAAGGACGAAUCCGCCCGAGGAGGGGCUUGCGUCUGCUUAGCUAGCUGGUGAGGGAAUAGCUUACCAAGGCGAUGAUCAGUAGCUGUUCCGAGAGGAUGAUCGGCCACACGGGGACUGAGGCACGGCCCAGGAUGCUAGGGGAGGCAGCAGGGGGGGAUUUUCCGCAAGGGGGGAAAGGCUGAAGGAGGAAUGGCGGGUGGGGGUAGAAGGGCCACGGGUCGUGAACUUCUUUUCUCGGAGAAGAAACAAUGACGGUAUCUGAGGAAUAAGCAUCGGCUAACUCUGUG